CGCUCUGAGGAUGGGAGGCGUUCGGCCAUUAUGCCAGUGAUGAAACGGGGAUGGUCAAAGGUUGAGGAAGAAGGAUAUCUGUACUCCACUGCUGGUUCAGAUCUCUGUGUACAGUUGUCCACAUCAGCCAGGACUUCAGUGAGCAGGCUGCAGCAGGUGUAUGGCCCCUGUAGUCCAAAAGAUAGACAUCUACAAGGACGGAAUCCAGGGAACCCUUUUUAUACCAGCAGGUCCUGGACCAUUCCCUGCUGAGCUGGAGCUAUCUGGGGGAGGAGGGGGUCUGUUUGAGCAUCGCUCCUCCCUGUUAGCAUCCCAAAGCUACGUCUCCUUAGUGCUGCAGUACCCCACGGACGUCUCUACAACGGUUGCCAUAGGAUGCAAGUACUUUGAGGUCAGGAGGUUAAAGUGUCCAUUACUGAUGGUCAUUGGAGAAGCUGACCAGAACUGUGCCACUGCAGAAUCUGUCCAGGAUAUGCGCAGUACAGUAUGUUGGAGAGGGUAGGGAACCUGUGUCUUACCCUGGGGCUGGUCACCUGAUCAAACCUUUCUACACUCCUCACUUCCGCUCCAGCACCUCCAGGGGCAAAGGUGAGGGAUUUUACAGAGCAUCUCUCAUCUGCUCCGACUUACUGUAAGGCUAGAUCAAGGACACAGUCGAUAGUAUCACUAGACAUUACAUUACAAGUCUCUGAAAGGGAUUGUUUUUCAUGAGUAUUUUUACCCUACUGUAAAACUGUAAUGUGCUGUUGCAGUGAUAAUGUUGUGGAGAGAGCAGCCCAAAUGGAGGAGGCUCCUGGAGUUCCUUCAGAAGAACCUGUACCAAAGACAGGACCCCUCUGUCCCCUCAGAGCUGUGAGAUCCUCCUGGACUAUCUCCAUUAUAGUCGUUGCUUCUCCAGCUUCAUUAUCUGUCAGGGCCCUAUUCUUGAAAUUAAGUAGAGACAAUAUUGGUUGGAUUUGUUUUUACUCACCAGGUGGCAGCAUUGCACAGUCUCUUAAAUGACUGGUCUGCUGCUUGUAGUUGUCAUAGUAGUCAAUGUCCUGACAAUUACAAGGAGGAAGCAGAGGAGAUGGUCGACAUCGGCCUUUCAUCAAAGUCCUUAUAGGGAACCCUUUCUGUUUAAAGACCAUGGAUCAGACCUUGGGUUGAGUUGCGGUCUUCUAGCCAACCUGGUUGGAAUUCCAAACUCCUGUGAGGUAACAUGAAGUGUUAUUGAUAUCAGCUGAGUUGAAGAGAAUGAACACCGCUGCCUUUUAACUCUGAUCAACUGCAUACUUUUUUAUUUUUUAGAUGUCACCCAUAUAUUCUCACUCCAGAUUCCAUUCUGGCAAAGAGGACCGAUGGCCUAAACAUCUCCAUGUGUUGCACAUAUAUUAAACCAAUAGCCUGGUCUGGAUCUGCUUGUGCUGUGUUGCUCCUAUGGUCAUUGUGAUCCCAAACAAUCAUGCACAAACAGAUCUGGGACUACUUAGGCUACUAAACCAAUGCCUUGUCUAGUGAUGAAGGAUAAGUUCCCAAUCUGGCAACCUGCCAUGCCAUUAAACUAAGGCCUUGUCUAGUGAUGAAGGAAAAAUACCCAAUCUGGCAACCCGCCGUGCUGUUAAACCUUUACAGACUCAGCAGCCUUGUGGUGUGACUUGGCACCCCCC
ensembl:lncRNA